rnacentral:rRNA from 1 species
UACAGAGGUCUCAAGCGUUGUUCGGAUUCAUUGGGCGUAAAGGGUGCGUAGGUGGCGCCGUAAGUCGGGUGUGAAAUUUCGGAGCUUAACUCCGAAACUGCAUUCGAUACUGCGGUGCUUGAGGACUGGAGAGGAGACUGGAAUUCAUGGUGUAGCAGUGAAAUGCGUAGAGAUCAUGAGGAAGACCAGUGGCGAAGGCGGGUCUCUGGACAGUUCCUGACACUGGAGGCACGAAGGCCAGGGGAGCAAACGGG